rnacentral:rRNA from 1 species
AGACCCGAAACCCGGUGAUCUAGCCAUGGGCAGGUUGAAGGUUGGGUAACACUAACUGGAGGACCGAACCGACUAAUGUUGAAAAAUUAGCGGAUGACCUGUGGCUGGGGGUGAAAGGCCAAUCAAACCGGGAGAUAGCUGGUUCUCCCCGAAAGCUAUUUAGGUAGCGCCUCGUGAAUUCAUCUCCGGGGGUAGAGCACUGUUUCGGCUAGGGGGCCAUCCCGGCUUACCAACCCGAUGCAAACUGCGAAUACCGGAGAAUGUUAUCACGGGAGACACACGGCGGGUGCUAACGUCCGUCGUGAAGAGGGAAACAACCCAGACCGCCAGCUAAGGUCCCAAAGUCAUGGUUAAGUGGGAAACGAUGUGGGAAGGCCCAGACAGCCAGGAUGUUGGCUUAGAAGCAGCCAUCAUUUAAAGAAAGCGUAAUAGCUCACUGGUCGAGUCGGCCUGCGCGGAAGAUGUAACGGGGCUAAACCAUGCACCGAAGCUGCGGCAGCGACACUCAGGUGUUGUUGGGUAGGGGAGCGUUCUGUAAGCCUGCGAAGGUGGCCUGUGAGGGUUGCUGGAGGUAUCAGAAGUGCGAAUGC